rnacentral:rRNA from 1 species
UCUUGAACUACCGGAAUGAAUGGAUCUUAUCCGAUUUUGGAAGCUAAGCAGGGCCAGGCUGGGUUUGUAUAACGGAUGGGAGACCACCUGGAAAUACCUGCGAUCUCCAGGU